ACAGCUAGUAUUUUAUUGUAGAUUUGAAGCGUAAUAACCAGGUACUAUUGCCCAGACCAAAGUCAUGCUUGCGCAACACGUGUGCAUAUGUUUUAAAGUUGGAUACAAAUCAGACUCAAGCAGGUAAGCUAAUGGCUGAAGUGGUAUUGAGGAACACUCUUAACCCAUCCCCCACCACCGCCGCCGCUGCUUUCUAGCCCUGCAUUAUUGAACAUGCUGCAGCACGACCAGAAGAUUGUGAAACAUGUGCUGUGAUGGCAGGGUGGCGGAAAAUCCCCAGAAACUCGUCAACACUUCUGAGUGUCAUAUUCACUUCCUUGAUGGUGUAAAGG